CGAUGCCGACCAGGGAUCGGCGGAUGUUGCUUAUAGGACUCCGCCGGCACCUUAUGAGAAAUCAAAGUCUUUGGGUUCCGGGGGGAGUAUGGUCGCAAGGCUGAAACUUAAAGGAAUUGACGGAAGGGCACCAGCAGGCGUGGAGCCUGCGGCUUAAUUUGACUCAACACGGGGAAAUUAACCCCAGGGUCCCCAGAGACAUAUAGCGCAAGGGAUUGAC
rnacentral:ncRNA from 1 species